AUUUCAAAGUUGCAUUUUUGCUGGUGGUCUAUUCUGCUAUGCUAAGAUAAAGUAAAAAUACAAUUGUCUCAAAUUGUUGAGGCUCUCAGAUAUUCUAAGGCAAUUUAGCUCUUAAGAACGCUACGGCAUUAGGCGAGCAGCAGGAAAUAAAAGCUAUGUUAUACUCUCCCAAAUAAAGCUACAUAAUUCACUAAGAGCUCUGAAGAAAAACCAAAAACAGUGUGAACCUUGAAAUUGAGGUUAACAAGAACAAGUGCAGAUGGGAGAGAGCCUUUCACCACAGAAUAAAAGAUUCGAUUUUGUUUUGUUUUCGUAAAAAUUCAUAUGUGCAGAAUUUUUUGACAGUUGUAAACAGAGCAUUUCCUAGCAGAAAACUGACUACUGAGUUUUUAUUUGAAAUUUGUCAACAUCGAAGUCAGCCAUUAAAACUCAUUAACGAGGGUUUUGACACUGAGCCAAUAAAGUUAUAUCACUGCAGGGACCAAGAACAUGAGGAAGUUUCUUGGCCAUUGGCACUACAAGCGCUGGAUUGGCCACCAUCUACCAACUAAUUCUGUCGGGACGUCGAUGUCAACAAUUUCACCACACCCAAUGAAAGCAGAAUUUCCGUUUUGCCGUCAUCACUCAAGCCAAACGCAUCACUGAUAGAGCCACGUCCAAAACCAUUAAGCUGCUUCCUAAUUAUUCGCAGUGUGGGAUUUCUACACCGUUGUUCACCUGGCCGAAAUAAAGACUCUCCGUGCUUAACGAUUCGCUUCUACUAUUGGUAACUUACUGCUACGGAUUCUGGUGCAGCGAUGCUUAAGGGAGUGCUUGGUCGUGAUAGUUGGUGAUCGCCGUCGUUUAAAGGCCCACGGUGGUGAAAAGAGCCCAUUGAACUAUGUGAACUCGACCUACUGUUGAAGGCAGCUUGCCUUACUGCUGGAGGGAAGUAAUGAAUGGGUGAAGAUGGAAUGGUUGGUGCAGCUCCAUUUUCAUGUUCGGAAGGCGUUCCAUCGGCUAAAUCAUUCCCUGAUGUGACAUUCAUUUUAUAACUGGUUACCACUUUCUGAUUUUUGGGGACAGUCUGACGAGUGUUGUUUGUGAUUUGAAAACUAGGCACCAACUAGGACGAAAUCUCUUUCAAGCUGUUCUGAUAGACAAGGAUUUGGUAACUGAACUGAAAUGCAUGAACUCAACUCCUGAUUGGCACUUAAAUCACUUUCUAUGGAAUAACUCCACUUCCGUUUACUAGCACCAGCGUAAAAAUUCGUUGUACGAUCUGUAAGCCUAUGAGAAGAAAUGUGCAGCAUUGUUGUGAAAUGUAGUGGUAGAUAUAUGCUUUUCACCUGACAGUAAGACCAACUGUUUACGUUUUUUGGCCAUGAAAAAAUUUCGGUUUUUACCUUUAGCUGUCCUACUUUCGGUUCUUGUCCAUCGAUCUGCUGUCAAUUAAAAUAUCAUCAAGUGAUCCAGCAGAAAUGCAAGUUCCGGGUUUUCGUAAUAAAUCCUUGUGAAGGUCGUGUUCUUGCAAUGACACGAACGCGUGAGCCUUCGUCAUCUA